AUGAAUAUAAAAAGUUGUGGAGCUGUGGUGAGUCUUAAGAAGUGGUCGGAAUCUGUUGGUGCCAAGGGUGUACUUAACAUUGCUUGGGUCAAUGUUAGCAACAUCCCUCUGGACAAAAGGCAUGAAAUGAACAUUGCAUAUGUUGGAUCUUUGGUGGGUGUGACCUUGGAAAUUGAUAAAUCCACUGUGAACAGGCCUGAAUCGGUCAGAAUUAAGUUGGGUUGCAGAGAUGCUGAAAAUAUUCCAGGAAAAGCUGAGGGAGUGCUGGGUGACCACUUCUAUGAUUUCUUCUACUCUGUUGACAAGAUUCUGGUUAAGAAUCCUCCAAAAGAAAGUGUUGUUGUGGUCCAGGAAUCUGACAAAGGUGUGUCACCAAAGAGAGCUAGGAUUAAUGAUAAUAUUCGACGUGUUGGGCAGGGGGUUCCUCCUCUACUAUGGGGAACCUCUCUGUCCCACCAAAUUCUGUUGGAAAUGGAGGUAAUAUGA
rnacentral:rRNA from 1 species